CCUACGGGCGGCAGCAGUGGGGAAUAUUGGGCAAUGGGCGCCAGCCUGACCCAGCAACGCCGCGUGAAGGAAGAAGGCUUUCGGGUUGUAAACUUCUUUUUAUAGGGAAGAGCAGAAGACGGUACCUCUUGAAUAAGCCACGGCUAACUACGUGCCAGCAGCCGCGGUAAUACGUAGGUGACAAGCGUUGUCCGGAUUUACUGGGUGUAAAGGGAGUGUAGCCGGGGUGACAAGUCAGAUGUGAAAUCCCGUGGCUCAACCACGGAACUGCAUUUGACACUGGCGGUCUUGAGUAUCGGAGAGGCAGGCGGAAGUCCUGGGGUAGCGGUGAAAUGCGUAGAUAUUAGGAGGAACACCAGUGGCGAAGGCGGCUGGCUGGACGACGACUGACGGUGAGGCGCGAAAGCGUGGGGAGCAAACAGGAUUAGAUACCCCAGUAGUC
rnacentral:rRNA from 1 species